rnacentral:rRNA from 1 species
UGCCCGAAAGGGUGACGAAGCGACGCCGCGUGUGGGAAGAAGGCCUUCGGGUUGUAAACCACUGUCGGGAGUUAGGAAAUGCAGGUGCGUUAAUAGCGCACUUGCUUGACUAAGGCUCCAGAGGAAGCCACGGCUAACUCUGUGCCAGCAGCCGCGGUAAUACAGAGGCGGCAAGCGUUGUUCGGAAUUAUUGGGCGUAAAGAGCACGUAGGCGGCCUUGCAAGUCAGUUGUGAAAGCCUUCCGCUUAACGGAAGAACGGCAUCUGAUACUACAGGGCUUGAGUACGGGAGGGGAGAGUGGAACUUCUGGUGGAGCGGUGAAAUGCGUAGAUAUCAGAAGGAACGCCGGCGGCGAAAGCGACUCUCUGGUCCGAAACUGACGCUGAGUGUGCGAAAGCUAGGGGAGCAAACGGGAUUAGAUACCCCGGUAGUCCUAGCCGUAAACGAUGGGCACUAAGUAGAGGGGUUUU